rnacentral:rRNA from 1 species
AUUGAACGCUGGCGGCAGGCCUAACACAUGCAAGUCGAACGAGUGGCGGACGGGUGAGUAAUGUCUGGGAAACUGCCUGCUGGAGGGGGAUAACUACUGGAAACGGUAGCUAAUACCGCAUACCAUCAGAGUUGCCCAGAUGGGAUUAGCUAGUUGGUGGGGUACCGGCUCACCAAGACGACGAUCCCUAGCUGGUCUGAGAGGAUGACCAGCAACACGGGAACUGAGACACGGUCCAGAAUCCUACGGGAGUCAGCAGUGGGGAAUAUUGCACAAUGGGCGCAAGCCUGAUGCAGCCAUGCCGAGUGUAUGAAGAAGGCCUUCGGGUUGUAAAGUACUUUCAGCGGGGAGGCGUUACCCGCAGAAGAAGCACCGGCUAACUCCGUGCCAGCAGCCGCGGUAAUUC